rnacentral:rRNA from 1 species
GUGCUAACGUCCGUCGUGAAGAGGGAAACAACCCAGACCGCCAGCUAAGGUCCCAAAGUCAUGGUUAAGUGGGAAACGAUGUGGGAAGGCUCAGACAGCCAGGAUGUUGGCUUAGAAGCAGCCAUCAUUUAAAGAAAGCGUAAUAGCUCACUGGUCGAGUCGGCCUGCGCGGAAGAUGUAACGGGGCUAAACCAUGCACCGAAGCUGCGGCAGCGAACGUAUCACUUAAAGCGAUUCAGCGUCUUACGAUUGACGGAGCGAAGCGACGUCAAAGCGUAUACAAAGUCGAGUCGGUUUAAGGAUACGUUCGUUGGGUAGGGGAGCGUUCUGUAAGCCGUUGAAGGUGUGCUGUGAGGCAUGCUGGAGGUAUCAGAAGUGCGAAUGCUGACAUAAGUAACGAUAAAGCGGGUGAAAAGCCCGCUCGCCGGAAGACCAAGGGUUCCUGUCCAACGUUAAUCGGGGCAGGGUGAGUCGACCCCUAAGGCGAGGCCGAAAGGCGUAGUCGAUGGGAAACAGGUUAAUAUUCCUGUACUUGGUGUUACUGCGAAGGGGGGACGGAGAAGGCUAUGUCGGCCGGGCGACGGUUGUCCCGGUUUAAGCGUGCAGGUGGAACGACCAGGUAAAUCCGGUUGUUCAUUAACACUGAGGCGUGAUGACGAGGCACUAAGGUGCUGAAGUGACAAAUGCCCUGCUUCCAGGAAAAGCCUCUAAGCAUCAGGUAACACGAAAUCGUACCCCAAACCGACACAGGUGGUCAGGUAGAGAAUACCAAGGCGCUUGAGAGAACUCGGGUGAAGGAACUAGGCAAAAUAGUGACGAAAAUUAGGGAGAAGG